AUGUUGUAUUUUACUGCCAUUUUUAAAAAAGUGCUUGAAGAUUGUAAUGAAUUUAUGCAACAUGCAAUGCCACUAGCCUACGGUAGAGGGCAAAGGCACUCAGGCUUCACUGAAAAGCUUGACUGCGGUGCCCCUGCUGCCAGUCCAGCCCUGUCAACGAACCAUCCACACCUGCAGCUCUGCUGGAGCCUCUGCAAGCCACAGGGGCGCUCGAGGUUUGGGUUUCCUUUCACAGGUUGCUGAUUAAACCUGGUCAGUCCUUCUACCCAGAAUGGAUGCUCCCAUCAUGGUGGUGAGGUUUCUCCAGCUUUUAUUUUUCCUGUCGUGCAUGUUAGUAACAUCUGCUGCUUGGCUAUUUAAAGCAUAGUUGUGGCUCCUUUACUAGUUUAAAAGUUGGGCAUGUGUGUUGUAGGUCGAAAAGUAGGGGCACAUCUGAUGGAUUUUGUACAAUGCAGAUCGUGUUCAGAUGCCUGCAUAAGUCCAAAGUGGCCAAAGAUGGCCAGGUGGCUGCUGUAGAGAACAGAGUGGUUAAUAGCACCUGGACAUUUGAUUCCUAGGAGAGCUUUCUCACAGACCACCUAUGCUGAGUUAUGAAUUAAGAGUUCUGUGUACUUUCUAAGUUUCAUGUCCAUUCUUAUGAAUUCAUAACUUCGGAAUGCACGGAGGCAAAGUCUCUUGAGCUUUAUGACAGCUAGCAGAGUGUCCAAUAGCAGCUCCUUGCCACCGAGAGGCACGUGGGGUGGGAAGGGUGGAAGAAGCCACCACGACUGCUAGCUCUGACGGUGGAAUCAGUGUUGGUAAUCACAUCCUAAACGACUUCAUUUCAGGUUUUGAAAUGCCUUCAGUUUGGGUUCUGGAAGGGAUUAGGUUCUGGGUUCAAAUUCAAACUCUAUCCCUUAUUCACUGGGUUACCUUGGGUGAGUUGCUUAACCUCUGAGUUUCAGCUCCUCCAUUUGUGAAAUAGGGGGUAAAAUAGUCGCCAUUUUGUUGAGUUGUUGAAGGGAUUGAACAAGAUAGUGUAUGAAAGCAUUUAGUUCUAUGCCAGCCACAUAGGAAGCACUCAAAAAAUGUCAGUCUUGCUCUUUCUUAUGUUCCAAAGAUCAUUCAACAUGCUCUGAGGUUUUAAACCCUUCUCCACUUUUUUGCAUCACUGGGAAAAAGAGAUGAUUAAGUAUUCUUUGGUAAACCACCAACAGUCAUUUCAUAGUAUCUUCUGAUUUGGACUUUUAAAUCAUAAGCUAUUAAAGAAAGUCAUUCUGUUUUUCACCUGCUCUCAGCAUAGUAGUAAUAGUAGUAGGACUAUGACAAUAUAUAAUACAUAUUGAAUGCAUCUUUCGUAAAAAAAAAUUAUGUCCU
rnacentral:lncRNA from 1 species